rnacentral:rRNA from 1 species
AUGGCCACAUCACGUUGAAACACCGAUUCCCGUGUGAUCAUCAAAGUUAAGCAACAUUGAGUAUAGUUAGUAGCUAAAUGGGUAACCGCUUGGGAAUAUUAUUGCUGUAA